rnacentral:snRNA from 1 species
CUACUUACCUUGACGGGGUCAAUGGGCAAUCAACAAGGCUCAUGGCCUAGGUUGGUGACCUCUAUUGUACUUUAGAGAGGUGCUCGCCUAAGAUCGAUCCAAGUCAUUGAGCUUACGUUAUAAUUUGUGACAGCAGAGACUUGCGUUCGCACAACCCUUAC